ACACCACUGGGGAUAGGUGGCUGGGGUUAUAAGGUGUCCCAACCCACCUUUCACUGGGGAGGUAACUGGCCUGGCAUUUCCUGGGGGCUCCAAUUCCACUAGAAGCCCAACCAGACCGCCCUUCCCCAGCAGAGUGCAGUUUUACAUCUUCCCCAGGACAAGGGGUCACCUCCUCCCCAUAGCCUGUGCCCUUACCUCCUGACUCUAGCUGGAGCAGCCCCUCAGCCUGAUGGUUCCUCCUUCCUUUCUACAGCAAACUGCAGCCCAGCUUAUAUCCCUGGGCCAAAAUGGCUGCCCUCGUCAGGCACCUGGCUGCUGCCUGUUUGCUGCUCUUAAAGUAGCAGGCACCAAAGGUGCCCUGCCACAAUCAGUUUUAAUAUUUUUAGGUAUGCAAUUAUUUUUUUGUUACUGUGUGGCAGUACAGUAUUUCCAGAUGCAUGUGAACAGUGAAGUGAGAAAAGUAAUCUGACAUUCAGAACUCAUCAGUGGGGCAAUAUAUUAUCUUUUUUGAUAAUUGUGUUUUCUGUUCUUAUAUUCCUCUUCCUCUCCAUAUUUCUGUCUCUUGUCCUCCUUCCCUUUCUGUAUUUCUUCCUUCCCUUGUUCAUCAACCUAUCUGCUUAAAUGCAGAGUUAAUGUAAGCAUAUAAAAUGCCAUCUUGGGUUUUAUAGUUUUUAUUUCAAGAAGGAUGAAACUUCACUCAUCUUAGAGUCACAGUUUCAGCCUCUCUCUUGGAAGUCUUAAUGAUCCUGCACCAUUUUAUAUUUGAUUCAUAUUGGGAAAUUUAUCUUUUCAAGUACAAAGGUUAGAAACUUGACUUUUUUUAAAGCAUCUGCAAAAUUGUAUUUGGUCAUGCACACCACUUUUGUAGGUGGAUAAUUUAGCUUUCCUUAUUAGUUCAUACAAGUUCUCACUGUUUUAGGUUCAACUGCAAUUUCAGUAACAACUUCUUUGCACCAUCUUCUAGAACAUAAGGGAAGAAAUGAAAUAUGGGUAACUUUCUUUUAAAAACAUCUACUCCAAUGUUUUAAAUGUUUCUGAGCACCUAGGAAUUGAACUGGGAUUGAAAGACAAGGAGUUAGGAUCUUAAAUUGCUUCUGAAAAUGAAACAUUGGGUGCAUCUACAUGUUGCCCCAUGGUGAUGUUGUUAUUGUGUCAUGUGCAUGGUGCACUUAGUUUUUGCUGCUACUUCAUCAUCAGUUGGGUGCAGUAGGAGGGAGAGGAGGCUGACUGGGCACAUGUGCGGGCUCUCAGCACAUGUGUGCCCCCUGCAACAUACCUGAGGCAGCAGAGGCUGAGAAGCAACAGCGGGGGCAGCAGCAGCUGACCCCCUGAAGGUAAGUGGGGCAGGAGCCGGUGCAGCUGCAGAGGAUCCAGAGGGGAAGCCCCUGGAUUCCUCUUCGCUGAGCCGGGCAUGGAGCAGUGUGCAAACAGAGCGCGCAAACAGGCACGCUCUGUAAGGGUGCUCCUGCAUUUACGCAAGGUGGGCACACAAAGAAUAAGCGACAAGAAGGAACACCUAGCAAGAGCAAUGAUUACUUGAAGCUCAGCAGCUAAGGUAAGAGCAGCUAAGGUAAGCGCACGGGAUGCAGCUGCAGCUCAGAUGGUGCUGCCCACCUGUGGUUCCUCUGAGGUGUCCACUCAGAUGGACCCCUGCACCCCUGUCUGCAGGGGUGGCCUGGCAGUGACCCUGCCAUCGGGGGAGGGGGGGAGCCCCCUUACCUGUCCCUCAUGUGCCUACAUUUGAGCCUUGGAGGAGCAGGUGAGGGAACUCCAGGUGGCAGUGAGCAGGCUAAGGGGGAUCAGGGAUGAUGAGGCUGUGAUUGAUGGGUAUUUCCAUUCCUUACAGCUCCAGAUGCCCACGGGUGAAACUCCAUGCGAGGAGUCUGCAGCUGGGGAGUGGAGGACAGUCACCUCUGGAUCCAGGUGGAGGGGCCUGGUGUUUGCUUCCCCAUUGCAUGUGGGGAAAGGAUACGGGGCCCUGACAACCAUGGAGGAGACAGAGAAGGAGCAUUUUCCUGCAGAUGAGGUGAUCCCUGUAGCCCCUACUGGGCAGGCUGGGGGAUCACUGCCCAGGCAGAAAAAGAAACACCGAGUGAUUGUGGUGGGCAACUCGAUCCUGAGAGGCAUGGAGAGGCCGAUCUGUCGACCGGAUCCUAUGGUGAGAGAAGUCUCCUGCAUGUCUGGAGCUAAGAUCAGGGACAUCACUGAGGCGAUUCCUGCUCUUAUUAAGCCCUCUGACGACUACCCCAUGGUCCUCGUCCACGUGGGAACCAACGAUGCAGCUAGGACCAGCCCUGACCACAUCAUGAAGGACUUCCAUGAACUGGGAGACAGCCUCAGGAAGACUGGAGCACAGGUUGUAUUUUCUUCCAUCCUUCCACUUGGCAGCAGCCAGAGACGCCAGGGUGCCCGCAUCAAGGAAGUCAACCGGUGGCUCCAGAGUUGGUGUCUUCAGGAGAGCUUUGGAUUCUACAGCCAUGACCAGCACUUCCAGGGAGGAGGCUUCCUGGGAGAUGAUGAUCUUCAUCUCUCUCCCAGAGCUCCAGCAACGGCUGUGGACAGCGUGAGGACCAGGUGCCACCGGCUCUUUUCGUUGGAGGUCUGACCGUCUCCUGGUUGUUUGACAGAGCCGUGGAGGGGCACAACGGCGCAACGCUCGGAGGAACAACUUAAUCCGACGGGACGAGGGAUGUCUCAAUGGACUGGUAUGUCCAAGAGCGACUUCCACUGCCUUUAGAUACUGCAGUCCACAAGUUCCAAAUUGGAGACGAGGUUUUGGUCCGAACGUGGAAAGACAAGCCUCUUCAACCCAAGUGGAAGGGAUCGUAUCCCGUGGUCCUCACCACUCAUACGGCAGUGAAGGUCCAAGGGGUAAAGCUGUGGAUCCACUAUACCAGGGUAAAGGCUGCACCGGAAGUUUCUUUUGAGGGAGCAGUUGCUGAGAGUGUCGCACCGGAAGCUGACACAAACGGACAUCGUUGGAUAGCAGAGCCUGUGGAAGGACUUAGAUUCUUGUUUAAACGUCGGCCAUGUGGAAAGUAGUUCUUUACCUAGGGUUUCUAGGGUUGGAGGGAUUGUUACAUCGAAAGUUUGAGAAAAACCAAAAUGUGUGGAUUUACUUGGCAAAAGAGGUGGUGAACACAACUCAUUUCUGUUUGGCUGGUGGAACGUCAGUUCAAGAUGUGUUUACCUCAUGCCUCGUAGGGGUGCCCACUCCAUUAGAAACACUCCAAAGUCAGAUUUGGCUAAAAAACUUCGACCUUUCAGGGUUUAAUCUCUGGAAUACAGCCUAUGAGUGGGGACCCAUUACUCAGAAGAGAAACGUUAGUACCUUUUCGAUAGAUUUGCUAACCGUGACCUCACCUAGUAACACCAGUUGUGCUCGAUUUGUAAAUUGUACCAAAGUUUGUGAAAACCUAACCCGAGAGGAAGGGACUUUUAAUUGUUCAAACAAAACCAAUGUGUCUUAUGGUACUGGUAAUGUCAUACUACCCUCAGGAUGGUUCCUCCUUUGUGGGAAAACUGCUCAUUUGUACAUCCCAGCUAAUGCAACAGGGGGACCCUGUACUCUUGGCAGGUUAACUGUCUGGUUACCAAAGAUGUCUAAAACCUCCGACAGGUGCCACUGAAGUUCUAGCCAGCUAGACGAGUCCUGUGAUAGUAACAUAAACCUCCUCAGUAAGGCCGAGGCAGUGUCUUUAUCAGUCUCUAUAGUAGGUUUACCAGCCCUGGCGGUAGGCAACCAUGGUCAGAUAAGUAAAGUGGCCUGCGCCUUAGCAAAGAGCCUGAACAUGACCUCACAGGCCCUAGCGGCCCUCAGCACCGAGAUGAAAGAACUGCGGGGGGCUACGCUGCAGAAUAGGGCAGCCAUAGACUACCUGUUACUGAGACAUAACCAUGGGUGUAAAGAGUUCGAUGGAAUGUGUUGUUUCAAUUUGACAGAUAAUUAUGAGCUAAUAGAGUCAAAGGUACAGAAGUUGCAGGAUGUUCUGUCACAUAUUAAGCAAGAUGAUGGAUUUGAUUUUUCAUGGCUUACUUCUUGGCUUCCUAAUUUUUCAUGGCUAAAGCAGAUGUUCCUUUUAAUUGUAGCAGGUAUAUGUAUUUUCCUAAUGAUUUGUUGUGGAGUGCAAUGUGUACCUAUGUGCUGUGACUCACUCAAGAAGUUGAUACCUACCCCUGUCAACCGAGUGACGUUCAUGAAACCUUCAGUCAUGGAUCCAAUCCAGAAGAAUCGAGAAGAUACAAAACGUUUUUUGAGGCUAAAAGGAAUGGUCGAGGACUAUGGUCCCAUUUCAUAGGGUCAUAGCCUCGAAGUGGGGAUUUGAUGUAGUCUUUUUUAUGGUGUAUCUAGCUUUUGCAAAUUAUAUCUAACUGAAUACUUAAGGCAGCUUGCUGGUGCUGGGAGGGGUGUGGUAUAUGUAUGUUAAAGAAUGAUUGUCUGCUGGAAAAGAAAUGCCACAUAGGCAAGCCCAGACAAGUACGGACAUGUUCUGUGGCUAAGGUAAUAUGAGCAUGGGCUAAGAGAAGGCAGCCAGUAGUAACGGUACAGCGUGUUAAGUGGGAGAAAGCUAUAUAAGGCUGAAGCAAGCCAAAGGGGGUGGUGCUUGCUUUGCGAACGAUCGCCAAGCACCCCUCUCUGUGCAGACUUGAAAUAAUAAAGAUUAAGUUGGAUCCUC